rnacentral:ncRNA from 1 species
UUAGAACCUAUUGAGGAAAGAAAGAAAUACAAGGUUAAUCACAGAGAGUCGGACUAAGCUGAGAGUCGAUAUUAAACGGUAUUUUAAUACAUUCCUCAGGUUAUCUAUUGAAAUAAAGUAGGUAGAUACGUGUCUGUCGUUAUCAGAAAUGAGAUGUAGUUUUAAAACUAUGAAUCAGGGUGGUACCGCGGAGUUUAGUCCUUCGCCCCUCAU